rnacentral:rRNA from 1 species
GACGAACGCUGGCGGCGUGCUUAACACAUGCAAGUCGAACGGACAGGCCCUGCUUUUGUGGGGUGCUCGAGUGGCGAACGGGUGAGUAACACGUGAGUAACCUGCCCUUGUCUUUGGGAUAACUUCAGGAAACUGGGGCUAAUACCGGAUAGGAGCUCCUGCUGCAUGGUGGGGGUUGGAAAGUUUCGGCGGUUGGGGAUGGACUCGCGGCUUAUCAGCUUGUUGGUGGGGUAGUGGCUUACCAAGGCUUUGACGGGUAGCCGGCCUGAGAGGGUGACCGGCCACAUUGGGACUGAGAUACGGCCCAGACUCCUACGGGAGGCAGCAGUGGGGAAUAUUGCACAAUGGGCGGAAGCCUGAUGCAGCAACGCCGCGUGCGGGAUGACGGCCUUCGGGUUGUAAACCGCUUUCGCCUGUGACGAAGCGUGAGUGACGGUAAUGGGUAAAGAAGCACCGGCUAACUACGUG